rnacentral:ncRNA from 1 species
GGGGAUAUGGCGAAAUCGGUAGACGCUACGGACUUAAUUGAAUUGAGCCUUGGUAUGGAAACUCACUAAGUGAUAACUUUCAAAUUCAGAGAAACCCUGGAAUUAAUAAAAAGGGGCAAUCCUGAGCCAAAUCCCGUUUUCCGAAACCAAAGGUUCAGAAAGUGAAAAGGGGAUAGGUGCAGAGACUCAACGGAAGCUGUUCUAACAAAUGGAGUUGGCUGCAUUAGUAGAGAAAUCUUUCCAUCUAAAAUUCCGAAAGGGUAAAGUGAAGGAUAAACGUAUAUAUACGUAUUGAAUACUAUGUCAAAUGAUUAAUGACGACUCGACUGAAUCUGUAUUUUUUAUAUGAAAACGGAAGAAUUGGUGUGAAUAGAUUCCACAUUGAAGAAAGAAUCGAAUAUUCAUUGAUCAAAUGAUUCACUCCAUAGUCUGAUAGAUCUUUUCAAGAAUUGAUUAAUCGGACGAGAAUAAAGAUAGAGUCCUGUUCUACAUGUCAAUGUCGGCAACAAUGAAAUUUAUAGUAAGAGGAAAAUCCGUCGACUUUAAAAAUCGUGAGGGUUCAAGUCCCUCUAUCCCCAA